rnacentral:rRNA from 1 species
GACGAACCGAGCGAACGUUUUUCGGAAUCACUGGGCUUAAAGGGCGCGUAGGCGGGCUGCCAAGUCUGUGGUGAAAUCCUCCAGCUUAACUGGAGAACGGCCGUGGAUACUGGCGGUCUCGAGGGGGGUAGGGGCGUGCGGAACUGUGCGUGGAGCGGUGAAAUGCGUUGAUAUGCACAGGAACUCCGGUGGCGAAGGCGGCACGCUGGACCUCUUCUGACGCUGAGGCGCGAAAGCCAGGGGAGCGAACGGG